UCGCCUCGUCGCCUGACGUCGCUCCCGAGGCGCUUCCCGCUGCUUCCCGCUUCGCGUUUUUCCGAGGAAACUUUUAAAUUGAACUCUCGACGCAAAUUCGCCACGGCAGUGGCGAAUCAAUUUCCCUCGGAUCUGUCUUCGAGCGAAGAGAGGAGGAUGUAUAUAUAUAUAUACAGAUUAUCGUCAAAGGAUCGGAAUUAAUUGCCGUUACGAAUUGUGGUUAGGCGCGCCCUCCAUGCAAAACGAGCGCUCUGAUAUACUCGCCAUGAAAAAUGCGCAGUAGCGGACGCACAAUAUAAAUAGCAGUAAUAUUUAUGUUCAGAGUAUCCUUGGAUCCAACAGGAUAUCGACGAAUAUUCAUCGUCACACCUAUACAAUAUCCAGCUAGUCGCGGGUUGGCAAAAUUCAAGAGAGAUCACGUCUUUUUCACUAUGAACCCGGAAACGCUUUGCCUACCCGAAGAGGCGGUGCUGGAAACCUACCGAGCGAUAUAUAACUACGAGAUUGAGGAAGCUCGAAAAAUUAUCAGGGCGUAUUCCAGGAAACUCAGUGGGACAAUCUUUGACGUUCGAAAAUGUUCACAAUUUACUUCUUGACGCAUUUAACGGAGCCACGAGCCCGGGUUUUUUUAACGGCGACCUUCCCUUGGUAAGUAAAGAAGACUGAAUGCCAAGUAGAAUUAAGUGAUGAUUAUUAGUACCAAACUUUUCUUCAUGAAUAACGAAUGGUAUGAAUAAUUGAUAAAUCACACGGUGGACGGCAUGAUGAAUGGAGUACAUAAAAGUCCAAACGAAGUGAAAGACCUUCCGUUUGGCGCUCCUUCUUUUUUCGUUGGAAGAUUUUAUAAACAUUUUAUUAUCGUCGAUACAAACACGUAUGAAGACGAUGUCUAUAAAGCUUCGAACAUCUGGAAGAUUGCCAUACGGAUGAACGCGCUCGCGCAAGAAGCACGAAGGUUUAAUCCCUUCAACUUCGUGUAAAAUCAAAAGGCAGCGACCCCGGGGUCAUCGUCUACAUACACGAUAUUCAACCGUAAAAGGGUUAAACCUGCUAGAAAUUUCGUAUGAUAUUAUCUCGACGACGGCCGGCGCUCGCACGUCAGUGAAAAGCGAUGUUUCCAAGAUAUUAUUUCUGCUUCCGCCCUUCUAUUUCGUUAUUCCUUUAAACGGCAGCCUUUUAACCGUAACCCCGCAUACAUUUAUUUCUCUUUCCCUCCGACCUGGCGCUCGUUUAAAUCUGUGAAAUUAUUCCGCGUUACUUGCACGUAACGUGCACGUAACAUUAUUUAUCAACCGUCUGACUGGCGGCACCCGGGAUAAGAAGUGAAAAAAAAAAGUUUAUCGUAAUGAGCGGUGAUCUAUGUAUUCAGGCACGGACUGCAGACGA